AUUGAACGCUGGCGGCAUGCUUUACACAUGCAAGUCGAGCGGCAGCGCGUCCCCGUAAGGGGAUGGCGGCGAGCGGCGAACGGGUGAGUAAUGCAUCGGAACGUGUCCCGUAGAGGGGGAUAGCCCGGCGAAAGCCGGAUUAAUACCGCAUAUGCUCUACGGAGGAAAGCGGGGGACUCGCAAGGGCCUCGCGCUAUGGGAGCGGCCGAUGUCCGAUUAGCUUGNGGCGGGGUAAUGGCCCACCAAGGCGGCGACGGGUAGCUGGCCUGAGAGGAUGGCCAGCCACAUUGGGACUGAGAAACGGCCCAGACUCCUACGGGAGGCAGCAGUGGGGAAUCUUGCGCAAUGGCCUAACGGCUGACGCAGCGACGCCGCGUGAGGGAUGAAGCUCCUCGGAGUGUAAACCUCUGUUGCCCGGGACGAA
rnacentral:rRNA from 1 species